rnacentral:rRNA from 1 species
UACGGGGGGAGCAAGCGUUGUUCGGAUUUACUGGGCGUAAAGGGCGGGUAGGCGGCCACCGCAAGUCAGUUGUGAAAUCUCUGGGCUUAACCCAGAAAGGUCAACUGAUACUGCGGGGCUAGAGUGCAGAAGGGGCAACUGGAAUUCUCGGUGUAGCGGUAAAAUGCGUAGAUAUCGAGAGGAACACCUGCGGCGAAGGCGGGUUGCUGGGCUGACACUGACGCUGAACUGCGAAAGCUAGGGGAGCGAACGGG